CCUUGCUAUUCGUAGAGUCCGAUUAUAAAUUUUAAUACGAAUUUUGAUAUUGGAGUAUUAAAUUAAAAAAUUCUUCAAAAAUCCAUAACUGGAUAUUUGGCUAUUUAAUCGACGAAUUUCUUUAGCUAAUAGCCUAUUCGUAGUCCUAGUAUUAUAUUCUGAGAAUUUCGUACCAAUCCAAGUCGAAUAAAAAACGGCAGUAUAUCGCACCUGCCUGCUUGUUCAUACCUUUGCGUAUUUUUAUUUAAUAAUCGGGCAAUAUAAAUAUUAUGAGGUAGAAGGAUUUUAUAGCUAGAAUAUCAUAUUCUACUAAAUAUAAAAGUUUGGAGCCCGACGAGUUAAUUAUAGAAAUUAGCUUUUGAAUAAGCAGGUAGCUCCUGAGAAUAAGCAUAAAGCUCAUCUGAUUUGAGUAAAUAAUGGGACAGGUGUACGUUGGAGGAGAUUUGGGUGAAGUUAUAAAAAUCCAGAAAGUAUCGGUAGGAGGUACGCAUGGCACCUCCGGGACAGGGGACGUCUCAGGAGAUAGAAAGACGGGUUGAAUGAGUGAACUGCAUCUGAUGUAUUAUAUAUAAAUUCUAACUAGAAAAACCUCCCGUUUUGGGAGUAUGUUUUUGUAAAUAUUUAUAAACUAUUUUUUUGGGAAUAAUAAAAUGCUUAUAUAAUUAAUUUUA